rnacentral:rRNA from 1 species
CCCUUAGAUGUUCUGGGCUGCACGCGCGCUACAAUGAUAGACUCAAAGAGUUUUCAAAAAAAGGAUAUGAUUUUAUUUCGUAUUCUAUAUUUCCUUGAUCGAGAGAUCUGGGUAAUCUUUUUUGAAAUUCUAUCAUGUUAGGGAUUGAUGAUUGCAAUUAUUCAUCAUAAACGAGGAAUGCCUUGUAAGUGCUUUUCAUCACAAAGCGCUGAAUACGUCCCUGCCCUUUGUACACACCGCCCGUCGCUCCUACCGAUCGAAGAGUUAGGUGAAUUGUUUUGAUCGAUAAGAUUUGACUAUGGUCAACUCUCGUUGUGAAAUUCUGUGAAUCUGACUGUUUAGAGGAAGGAAAAGUCGUAACA